UCCAUAAGCAGAGUCUCUCAUACAAAUUAUUCCAGCACUGGGCCAUGGAUGACCGAUCAAACAGAUCAGCUGGAAGUUGAGCUAAAACAGCGCAUUCAAAAUACAGGAGCUCUGAUGCUCAAAAUCCUGUUCAAGAAUAACCACCCUGAUGGCAAACCUCUGGUCAACAGAUCUGCUUUACUUGAGAUCCUUACAAAUUUCCUAAGGAGGCCUGUCACAGCUAAACAGCUGAAAAACCUUCUAUUUCG